UAGGGAAUCUUCCGCAAUGGGCGAAAGCCUGACGGAGCAACGCCGCGUGAGUGAUGAAGGUCUUCGGAUCGUAAAACUCUGUUAUUAGGGAAGAACAAAUGUGUAAGUAACUAUGCACGUCUUGACGGUACCUAAUCAGAAAGCCACGGCUAACUACGUGCCAGCAGCCGCGGUAAUACGUAGGUGGCAAGCGUUAUCCGGAAUUAUUGGGCGUAAAGCGCGCGUAGGCGGUUUUUUAAGUCUGAUGUGAAAGCCCACGGCUCAACCGUGGAGGGUCAUUGGAAACUGGAAAACUUGAGUGCAGAAGAGAAAAGUGGAAUUCCAUGUGUAGCGGUGAAAUGCGCAGAGAUAUGGAGGAACACCAGUGGCGAAGGCGACUUUCUGGUCUGUAACUGACGCUGAUGUGCGAAAGCGUGGGGAUCAAACAGG
rnacentral:rRNA from 1 species